GACGAACGCUGGCGGCGUGCUUAACACAUGCAAGUCGAACGGAAAGGCCCUGCUUGCUGGGUACUCGAGUGGCGAACGGGUGAGUAACACGUGGGUGAUCUGCACUGCACUUCGGGAUAAGCCUGGGAAACUGGGUCUAAUACCGGAUAGGAGACAUUUUGAGUGUGGUGGUUGGAAAGUUUUUUCGGUGUAGGAUGAGCUCGCGGCCUAUCAGCUUGUUGGUGGGGUAAUGGCCUACCGAGGCGGCGACGGGUAGCCGGCCUGGGAGGGUGGACGGCCACAUUGGGACUGAGAUUGGGCCCAGACUCCUACGGGAGGCAGCAGUGGGGAAUAUUGCACAAGGGGCGCGAGCCUGAUGCAGCGACGCCGCGUGGGGGAUGACGGCCUUCGGGUUGUAAACUCCUUUCGCUAGGGACGAAGCUUUUUGUGACGGUACCUAGAUAAGAAGCACCGGCUAACUACGUG
rnacentral:rRNA from 1 species